AUUGAACGUUGGCGGCAUGCCUUACACAUGCAAGUCGAACGGCAGCGGGGACUUCGGUCCGCCGGCGAGUGGCGAACGGGUGAGUAAUGUAUCGGAACGUACCAUUCAGUGGGGGAUAACUAUCCGAAAGGAUAGCUAAUACCGCAUAUUCUGUGAGCAGGAAAGCAGGGGAUCGCAAGACCUUGCGCUGAUUGAGCGGCCGAUAUCAGAUUAGCUAGUUGGUGAGGUAACGGCUCACCAAGGCUACGAUCUGUAGCGGGUCUGAGAGGAUGAUCCGCCACACUGAGACUGAGACACGGCCCAGACUCCUACGGGAGGCAGCAGUGGGGAAUUUUGGACAAUGGGCGCAAGCCUGAUCCAGCCAUGCCGCGUGAGUGAAGAAGGCCUUCGGGUUGUAAAGCUCUUUCGGCCGGGAAGAAAUCGCAUCAGCUAAUACCUGGUGUGGAUGACGGUACCGGAAUAAGAAGCACCGGCUAACUACGUGCCAGCCGCCGCGGUAACAC
rnacentral:rRNA from 1 species